GGCAAGGAUUCCGGAGAAGGGAUGGU
rnacentral:piRNA from 1 species